GCCUAAUAUAAAGUGAGAUUAGUUCUCCUUACUUGUCUAUAUGUUUCUUUCCAAACAAAUGAGAUGUCAGAAUAGAAAUUGGUACACAUGUUAACAUGAGCACAACAUUCACAGACAGGACUGCAUUGACACUCAUCACCUUGAUUUGAAAACAGAAAUUACUUUUUAAUGUUUUAUUGAAAUCAUCUUUUAAACAAAACAUUCAUGUUCUUUUAAAGCAAACUCAAAUUCAAACAUUCAAACAGGAAGUAGCAACCAGAUGUUACUGUGUGAUUAAUAAUAUCUGAGGUUCAUUUCUGCUGAACUAAUUCCAACAAAUAAAAUAUAUCCUGUCAUUUUCAGUGAAGUUCAUGAAAAGCAGUAAAAUAAAGACAUCAAACAUAAAAGCAAAAACAUUUUACCUUACCAAACGAGCCUGCAGCUGAAAGAGAAACAAUUCGUUUUAAAUUCAAGCAAUUUAUAAAUUUCACAGUAACAGUAACCAACUUCCCUGCUGAGCCUUUGCAAUAUAAAGCAAAAGCAAACAGAGUUACUCUUUCAAGCUGAAUACCACACGAUUAAAAUACUGCAAAGUCUUCACACUUCUUGGCCACACCCUGUCAUUGAGGAAGUCAGAUGCAUCUUCAGCUCAUCAGGGUGAAAAUUACUGAAUUAUUUAGUUUGUAUUAUUUUCUAGUUUUGUUGUUAUUUAUUUUAGUUUACACAUUCAUUUAGUAUAGUGUAUUAAUUGCAAGCCCAUAUUCCCUAUUCUUUCUGUAGCUUAUAUGGAGUACAAACUGUUGUGGUGGCAGCCUGGCUGAUGGUUCACUCACCCUCCUCUCCCGUUGUGUCAACUGGGCUCGUCAACCUGCUCCCCCUCAUGCCUCGGUCAGCCUGCCACCACACUCCUCCACCAACCCCCGGUCAGUUCUCCCGUGCCUCCCAGUUCCCUCGUCCCAGCUUCCUUGGUCCUGCCUGCUCCUCAGCCCCACCGUGUUCCCAAUGGCCCAAUCUGCCGUACUUGCUGCUCGGUCCCCCGUGCCCGUGUUCCCCCGGCAUCCACCUCUCCCUCACCUCCCUUUUCCCCUCAAUAAAACCUGUUUCCCCGGA